rnacentral:tRNA from 1 species
GCGGGAUUAGUAUAGUGGUAAUAUGCGACCUUCCCAAGGUCGAGAGGCGGGUUCGAUUCCCGUAUCCCGCU